rnacentral:rRNA from 1 species
AGUGAACGCUGGCGGUAGGCCUAACACAUGCAAGUCGAACGGCAGCACAGUAAGAGCUUGCUCUUACGGGUGGCGAGUGGCGGACGGGUGAGGAAUACAUCGGAAUCUACUUUUUCGUGGGGGAUAACGUAGGGAAACUUACGCUAAUACCGCAUACGACCUACGGGUGAAAGCAGGGGAUCUUCGGACCUUGCGCGAUUGAAUGAGCCGAUGUCAGAUUAGCUAGUUGGCGGGGUAAAGGCCCACCAAGGCGACGAUCCGUAGCUGGUCUGAGAGGAUGAUCAGCCACACUGGAACUGAGACACGGUCCAGACUCCUACGGGAGGCAGCAGUGGGGAAUAUUGGACAAUGGGCGCAAGCCUGAUCCAGCCAUACCGCGUGGGUGAAGAAGGCCUUCGGGUUGUAAAGCCCUUUUGUUGGGAAAGAAAAGCAGCAGGUUAAUACCCCGCUGUUCUGACGGUACCCAAAGAAUAAGCACCGGCUGACUUCGUG